GAUGAACGCUGGCGGCGUGCCUAAUACAUGCAAGUCGAGCGAACAGAUGAGGAGCUUGCUCCUCUGACGUUAGCGGCGGACGGGUGAGUAACACGUGGAUAACCUACCUAUAAGACUGGGAUAACUUCGGGAAACCGGAGCUAAUACCGGAUAAUAUAUUGAACCGCAUGGUUCAAUAGUGAAAGACGGUUUUGCUGUCACUUAUAGAUGGAUCCGCGCCGCAUUAGCUAGUUGGUAAGGUAACGGCUUACCAAGGCAACGAUGCGUAGCCGACCUGAGAGGGUGAUCGGCCACACUGGAACUGAGACACGGUCCAGACUCCUACGGGAGGCAGCAGUAGGGAAUCUUCCGCAAAGGGCGAAAGCCUGACGGAGCAACGCCGGGUGAGUGAUGAAGGUCUUCGGAUCGUAAAACUCUGUUAUUAGGGAAGAACAAAUGUGUAAGUAACUAUGCACGUCUUGACGGUACCUAAUCAGAAAGCCACGGCUAACUACGUG
rnacentral:rRNA from 1 species